GAUGAACGCUGGCGGCGUGCCUAAUACAUGCAAGUCGAGCGAACGGACGAGAAGCUUGCUUCUCUGAUGUUAGCGGCGGACGGGUGAGUAACACGUGGAUAACCUACCUAUAAGACUGGGAUAACUUCGGGAAACCGGAGCUAAUACCGGAUAAUAUUUUGAACCGCAUGGUUCAAAAGUGAAAGACGGUCUUGCUGUCACUUAUAGAUGGAUCCGCGCCGCAUUAGCUAGUUGGUAAGGUAACGGCUUACCAAGGCAACGAUGCAUAGCCGACCUGAGAGGGUGAUCGGCCACACUGGAACUGAGACACGGUCCAGACUCCUACGGGAGGCAGCAGUAGGGAAUCUUCCGCAAUGGGCGAAAGCCUGACGGAGCAACGCCGCGUGAGUGAUGAAGGUCUUCGGAUCGUAAAACUCUGUUAUUAGGGAAGAACAUAUGUGUAAGUAACUGUGCACAUCUUGACGGUACCUAAUCAGAAAGCCACGGCUAACUACGUGCCAGCAGCCGCGGUAAUACGUAGGUGGCAAGCGUUAUCCGGAAAUUAUGGGCGUAAAGCGCGCGUAGGCGGUUUUUUAAGUCUGAUGUGAAAGCCCACGGCUCAACCGUGGAGGGUCAUUGGAAACUGGAAAACUUGAGUGCAGAAGAGGAAAGUGGAAUUCCAUGUGUAGCGGUGAAAUGCGCAGAGAUAUGGAGGAACACCAGUGGCGAAGGCGACUUUCUGGUCUGUAACUGACGCUGAUGUGCGAAAGCGUGGGGAUCAAACAGGAUUAGAUACCCUGGUAGUCCACGCCGUAAACGAUGAGUGCUAAGUGUUAGGGGGUUUCCGCCCCUUAGUGCUGCAGCUAACGCAUUAAGCACUCCGCCUGGGGAGUACGACCGCAAGGUUGAAACUCAAAGGAAUUGACGGGGACCCGCACAAGCGGUGGAGCAUGUGGUUUAAUUCGAAGCAACGCGAAGAACCUUACCAAAUCUUGACAUCCUUUGACAACUCUAGAGAUAAAGCCUUCCCCUUCGGGGGACAAAGUGACAGGUGGUGCAUGGUUGUCGUCAGCUCGUGUCGUGAGAUGUUGGGUUAAGUCCCGCAACGAGCGCAACCCUUAAGCUUAGUUGCCAUCAUUAAGUUGGGCACUCUAAGUUGACUGCCGGUGACAAACCGGAGGAAGGUGGGGAUGACGUCAAAUCAUCAUGCCCCUUAUGAUUUGGGCUACACACGUGCUACAAUGGACAAUACAAAGGGCAGCGAAACCGCGAGGUCAAGCAAAUCCCAUAAAGUUGUUCUCAGUUCGGAUUGUAGUCUGCAACUCGACUACAUGAAGCUGGAAUCGCUAGUAAUCGUAGAUCAGCAUGCUACGGUGAAUACGUUCCCGGGUCU
rnacentral:rRNA from 1 species